GUAAAAUCCCAAGAAUUUUACCGAUGUGACGUUGGUGGGUUUUGAAGAUAUAAAUAGUUCCUGAGUCUUGUCUCCAUUGAGUUUCAGUUUAUUUGCUGUGAACCAUUCAUUGGCAUCUUCAAGGAUUUUUCUCAUUUUUGGUUUUAGCGUAUCCUCUGUUUCUUCUUUGAUGCAGAAGGAAGUGUCGUCCGCAUAUAGACACUGUCCAUCCACUCUCAUAUUGAUAGGCAAGUCAUUUACAUAGAUUAUAAAUAGCAGUGGACCGAGGAUUGAUCCCUGGGGCACUCCACACCUUGUUGGCAGAGGCUUUGACCAUUUUUCAUUCCAUUUUACUAUCUGGGUUCUAUUUUCAAGGGAAGAAUUUGUCAAAGGCAGCUGUCAGAGUUGUAUGGAAGACAGUGUAGGCCUCUUUUGCAUUACGGUGUUUGAAGACACGAGCCCACUCAAUUCCGGUUAAGUACUCCUUAAAGUAGUUCUUGCACUGGGUUCUUAAUCUUCAGGACUUGACAGUAGUGAUCAGACAUGCACCAACUUUUUGUCUCUUUUGAGAAGAUUUCUUCUAUGUUAAUAUUUGAAAAUAUAUUAUCUAUGCAGCUAGAAGAAGUUUCAGUUGUUCUAGAUGCCUCUCUCAUUAGUGGUUGCAUACCAUAUGUUGUGAAAGUUUCGAUUAAUAAAGAUUGUUCGACGCCA